rnacentral:rRNA from 1 species
AGAGUUUGAUCAUGGCUCAGAUUGAACGCUGGCGGCAGGCCUAACACAUGCAAGUCGAGCGGAAACGAUGGUAGCUUGCUACCAGGCGUCGAGCGGCGGACGGGUGAGUAACGCGUGAGAAUCUGCCCAUUUGUGGGGGAUAACUCGGGGAAACUCGAGCUAAUACCGCAUAAUCCCUACGGGGGAAAGCAGGGGACCUUCGGGCCUUGUGCAGAUGGAUGAGCUCGCGUCGGAUUAGCUUGUUGGUGAGGUAAAAGCUCACCAAGGCGACGAUCCGUAGCUGGUCUGAGAGGAUGAUCAGCCACACCGGGACUGAGACACGGCCCGGACUCCUACGGGAGGCAGCAGUGGGGAAUCUUGGACAAUGGGGGCAACCCUGAUCCAGCCAUGCCGCGUGUGUGAAGAAGGCCUUCGGGUUGUAAAGCACUUUCAGUAGGGAGGAAGGCUUAGGAUUAAUAAUCCUGAGUACUUGACGUUACCUACAGAAGAAGCACCG